CGGUGUGCUGGAUGACGCGGCCGAUCAGCAGCUUGAGUUGCUGCGCUUCGUCGUAGGACAGCGCUUCCAGGGCGCUCAUCUCGGC
rnacentral:tRNA from 1 species